rfam:Triticum aestivum genome assembly, contig: Triticum_aestivum_CS42_TGACv1_scaffold_320393_4BL
UUUGUACUCCCUUCGUCCCAAAAUUAUUGUCUUAAAUUUGUCUAAAUAUGGAUGUAUCUAGUUACAUUUUAGUGUUAGAUACAUCCGUAUCUAAACAAAUGUAAGUCAAGAAUUUUGGGACAGAGGGAGUACUAC